CAGAGAAACAUAGAAGGUCUCAGGCGCUUUUAAAAACACAACGGAGAGAAUCCAAGUCACAUCUUAGUCUCUGCAAAUGAUCUUUGGGUCAGGGUCUUGACCCCAGCACUUCUAGGCUUCAGAGAGACUACCUUCAGGAGAACAGCUGGAUUUAACCACACCCCAUUAGGUCACUCUCCUGAUCAUGCCCCUUCAGUGGUCAUCCCAGUUCCUAUCAAGGAUCUUAAUAUUUGAACUUUGAACAGCAUUUGAAGUUAUUGAUGAAGUUCAGCUCUGCUCCCUUUUGAUGUGAAACAGAUACAAUGUUGAGAAUCCCCAAGGUGACUCCUUAUGCUGUCUGACUGCAGUGAUGAACACUGAAAUGUAGGCUGUCUCUUCUUUUUUUCUGAGAGCAACAAGAAGGCAGAGAGCUGGGAAGCCACUCUCCUUCCCACAGCCAAGCUUCAG